GAAGAUCUGGUAAUUUUGGGCUCAUCAAUGCUGGAAGAAAAGGCCCUGAGCUGACAGAAGCAGCCAGUGGUCAGCAUGCGGACCUUCAUUUGCUCUGAACCCUAUGCCUAGAAAUAGCACCAUAGAGGUCUGACUAUUGAAAAGAGAACAUGUAACUUCAAUGACCCUGCCAACUCCACCACACACCCCAUAGACGAGACUAAGAAGAGCUACUGCAGCCCUCUUGUCAGCUGUGAUCUGGCUGGACUUUCGCAGUGCACAUGCCUGGAGUGGCCUAAGGCUCUGGAUCACUGUCACUCAUAUUAAAAUGACCAUGAGAUUCAGCCUCCACAGAUGAGGACAUGACAGACUGUUAGUCCAGCAAGGGCAAGAAAGCAAUCCCUUUGCAGCUAAAGUGUGGGGAGGACAAAAGGAUGUUUCCACCAGCCUCCCCAUGCCCUCACCACCUCCAGUGCCAGAACCUUCCUGGGAACAAGCUCUUCAUGCACAGACCAGUGCUUGGUGCUGGAUAUUACCUUGGAUCACAGGGUUCUCUGCUGUCUUGCCUUCACUAAAGUGUAGACAUGGCUUCUCCAGAUGCUGACAUGGCUGCCUUUGGGGAGGCAGCU